GCUCAGCGGUGGCCACCUCGCUGAGUGACAUCACCGAAGCAGUCCCCAGAGUCAUCGGGGAGGGCAGCACAACAGUUAGGGGGAUCUGUGAACUACAAUCCCUAGGUGACACUGCUGUAAUGGAAUCAGACUGGGAUGACGCUGCAAGGUGGCUCAUCUAUAGCCACAUCCAACUGGAACGGAACCCAACCCGGCCAGUGAGAAUGGGCCAGUGCAAGCACCUAUGGGCACCGGGGCAUCAGGGCAUAGCGGCACCUACCUUCUAUACCUUAAUGUGUGGUACCAGGCCCCGUUUGGUAGUGGAGCGGCUGUAUUCUUUUUAUAGUGACACCGGCCUUCUGUGUUCCUCCCCGUCUCUCCCUCCUUCCCUCUCUCUGCUUGCUUGGCCCACGAUGCUGCCCUCACCUGAUGCC